AGCGGACGCUGGCGGCAGGCUUAACACAUGCAAGUCGAACGCCAUCUUCGGAUGGAGUGGCAGACGGGUGAGUAACGCGUGGGAACGUACCCUUUGGUUCGGAAUAUUCUCGGGAAACUGGGAGCAAUACCGGAUAAGCCCUACGGGGGAAAGAUUUAUCGCCAAAGGAGCGGCCCGCGUCAGAUUAGGUAGUUGGUGGGGUAAAGGCCUACCAAGCCUACGAUCUGUAGCUGGUCUGAGAGGAUGAUCAGCCACACUGGGACUGAGACACGGCCCAGACUCCUACGGGAGGCAGCAGUGGGGAAUCUUGGACAAUGGGCGCAAGCCUGAUCCAGCCAUGCCGCGUGGAUGAUGAAGGCCUUAGGGUUGUAAAAUCCUUUCAACGGGGACGAUAAUGACGGUACCCGUAGAAGAAGCCCCGGCUAACUUCGUG
rnacentral:rRNA from 1 species